CCCGGGUACUUGUACACACCGCCCGUCACACCAUGGGAGCGGGAUGUACCAGAAGUAGGUAGGCCAACCGCAAGGGGGCCGCUUACCACGGUGCGUUUCGUGACUGGGGUG
rnacentral:rRNA from 1 species